rnacentral:rRNA from 1 species
AUGUCGCCGCAGCCGAGCCGGCGGAGCAGCCGGAAGUCCCCCAUCCCGAGGGGCCCGUCCCGCGCGCGCGCCGCCAGGACGGCCUUCCACCUAGGGUCGCCCCCCUUGUGGGGCUUCCCGCCCGCGCCGCCGCUCCCGCCGGCGCCGGCCGUGCCGUUGCUCCAGUCGCUGGCCGCGCUGCUGCUGACGCUGGUCUUGGCGCUCCGGCUCGUGACGGUGCCGCUGGGCGCCAUGCUGGUGCAGGUGGUCGUGACCGCCCCGCCGCCGGAGGAGCUGUCGCCCAUGCUGCUGUGCGGGCUCGCGGCGGCGCUCACCGGCGGGGACGCGUCCCACACGAUCACCGGCUUGGCCGCCGCCGCCGGCGGCGGCGCCUUCUUGUCGCCCCGCCCGUGGUCCACGGCGACGAGCACGUGGUCCAUCUCGUCGACCGGCUCCGGCGGGUGGCUGGCCCCGGAGAAGGAGCUCCUCGGCGGCGCCCCGUCGUCGUCCUCCUCCUCCUCCUCGCUGGACGCAAUGCUGAGCCUCACCUUGUCGAACCCAGCAAGGACCUCCUCCUUGUCCUUCGCGGCCGCCGGCUUGGCGCCGGCGUCCAUGUGGAAGCGGAAGGCGUCGGGAAGGAAGUCGAAGCGGAACUCGAAGUCGUGGGCGGGAUCCGGGCGCACCUGCGCGAGCUGGGAGCGGGAGCGCGCGUGGCCCGGGGCUGACCUCGGCGGCUUGGCGUGCGGUGGAGGGCGAGAUGACUGCAUCGCUCGCUCCUUGGCCUGGUCCUUGCGAGUAAUGGAGGUGGUGUGGUGUAGUAACGGGAGGAUGACAAAAGAGGUUGGGGGAGGGGGAAGGGGACACAAUCACACAACUGCCGGGCCGCGCGUAAUUCGUAGCGGGGAGAGCGCGUCUUCUUCUCCUUCUCUCUCUCUUGUGUGCUGCGGAGACAAUGAUGGCAGGGCAGAGCGGGCGAGGCAGUAG